AGAGUUUGAUCCUGGCUCAGGAUGAACGCUGGCGGCGUGCCUAAUACAUGCAAGUCGAGCGAACGGACGAGAAGCUUGCUUCUCUGAUGUUAGCGGCGGACGGGUGAGUAACACGUGGAUAACCUACCUAUAAGACUGGGAUAACUUCGGGAAACCGGAGCUAAUACCGGAUAAUAUUUUGAACCGCAUGGUUCAAAAGUGAAAGACGGUCUUGCUGUCACUUAUAGAUGGAUCCGCGCUGCAUUAGCUAGUUGGUAAGGUAACGGCUUACCAAGGCAACGAUGCAUAGCCGACCUGAGAGGGUGAUCGGCCACACUGGAACUGAGACACGGUCCAGACUCCUACGGGAGGCAGCAGUAGGGAAUCUUCCGCAAUGGGCGAAAGCCUGACGGAGCAACGCCGCGUGAGUGAUGAAGGUCUUCGGAUCGUAAAACUCUGUUAUUAGGGAAGAACAUAUGUGUAAGUAACUGUGCACAUCUUGACGGUACCUAAUCAGAAAGCCACGGCUAACUACGUGCCAGCAGCCGCGGUAAUACGUAGGUGGCAAGCGUUAUCCGGAAUUAUUGGGCGUAAAGCGCGCGUAGGCGGUUUUUUAAGUCUGAUGNAUAUUUUGAACCGCAUGGUUCAAAAGUGAAAGACGGUCUUGCUGUCACUUAUAGAUGGAUCCGCGCUGCAUUAGCUAGUUGGUAAGGUAACGGCUUACCAAGGCAACGAUGCAUAGCCGACCUGAGAGGGUGAUCGGCCACACUGGAACUGAGACACGGUCCAGACUCCUACGGGAGGCAGCAGUAGGGAAUCUUCCGCAAUGGGCGAAAGCCUGACGGAGCAACGCCGCGUGAGUGAUGAAGGUCUUCGGAUCGUAAAACUCUGUUAUUAGGGAAGAACAUAUGUGUAAGUAACUGUGCACAUCUUGACGGUACCUAAUCAGAAAGCCACGGCUAACUACGUGCCAGCAGCCGCGGUAAUACGUAGGUGGCAAGCGUUAUCCGGAAUUAUUGGGCGUAAAGCGCGCGUAGGCGGUUUUUUAAGUCUGAUGUGAAAGCCCACGGCUCAACCGUGGAGGGUCAUUGGAAACUGGAAAACUUGAGUGCAGAAGAGGAAAGUGGAAUUCCAUGUGUAGCGGUGAAAUGCGCAGAGAUAUGGAGGAACACCAGUGGCGAAGGCGACUUUCUGGUCUGUAACUGACGCUGAUGUGCGAAAGCGUGGGGAUCAAACAGGAUUAGAUACCCUGGUAGUCCACGCCGUAAACGAUGAGUGCUAAGUGUUAGGGGGUUUCCGCCCCUUAGUGCUGCAGCUAACGCAUUAAGCACUCCGCCUGGGGAGUACGACCGCAAGGUUGAAACUCAAAGGAAUUGACGGGGACCCGCACAAGCGGUGGAGCAUGUGGUUUAAUUCGAAGCAACGCGAAGAACCUUACCAAAUCUUGACAUCCUUUGACAACUCUAGAGAUAGAGCCUUCCCCUUCGGGGGACAAAGUGACAGGUGGUGCAUGGUUGUCGUCAGCUCGUGUCGUGAGAUGUUGGGUUAAGUCCCGCAACGAGCGCAACCCUUAAGCUUAGUUGCCAUCAUUAAGUUGGGCACUCUAAGUUGACUGCCGGUGACAAACCGGAGGAAGGUGGGGAUGACGUCAAAUCAUCAUGCCCCUUAUGAUUUGGGCUACACACGUGCUACAAUGGACAAUACAAAGGGCAGCGAAACCGCGAGGUCAAGCAAAUCCCAUAAAGUUGUUCUCAGUUCGGAUUGUAGUCUGCAACUCGACUACAUGAAGCUGGAAUCGCUAGUAAUCGUAGAUCAGCAUGCUACGGUGAAUACGUUCCCGGGUCUUGUACACACCGCCCGUCACACCACGAGAGUUUGUAACACCCGAAGCCGGUGGAGUAACCUUUUAGGAGCUAGCCGUCGAAGGUGGGACAAAUGAUUGGGGUGAAGUCGUAACAAGGUAGCCGUAUCGGAAGGUGCGGCUGGAUCACCU
rnacentral:rRNA from 1 species